ensembl:lncRNA
AGAAGAUUCUCAGAGGGCGGAACCAGAGAGCAGUGAUUGGUCAGACCAUAGAUAAUAUGGAAGACAGCGCGCUACCGUAUCUAGUCUAUGUAUAUCUCUGGCUGCUGUUGACUUUGUUUUUGGAGUAAAACACGAUUGAAGCUGAAUUAGUGAGGAUGACUCCUGCUCCUGUCAUCUCUAAACUCCUCACACAUCUUUACCUGCACAUGAGGAAAAUCACUCCUGUAGAAUGCAGAUGUUCAGAGGGAGAUGAUGCCACAUCUGGUCCAGCUGAUGGAAGGUCUUGAAGUUCUCUGACUGGCCUCGACUGAAGAUGGUCGUCUCACUGGAUUUAAGGUUCAGAUGCUCAGUAACAAACUCCACCAAUGUGCUAACAGGGAAGCUUUAGGUUUAUUAAAUGUUGCUAUGAAGGUAUCACUGUUUUUCUUUGUGAAUGCAAUGUGCUCCAACUGAAACUUGAAUUAGAACUUAGAAGUAAAUCCUUCCAUCUGAAAGGAUUUAGUUGCAUUAAUAACCUCAUAACAUUCUAAUUUUUAUUCCAG